UGUGUUGCAUACCUGAUCAAUGGCAUCGUCUUGAUCAAAAGUGUGUAUUUUUCGUUUGGCAAUGCACCUGCAUUGUCGGAUGAACCACGUAGCAUCCUCUUUGAUCCAUACAGUUGACGUGCUUUCGUUGAUUGUUUGGCCCAUUGAGUGGUGACUCGGUCUCUCGGAUAUGGAAGCCAAAGUGGGCAUAGGGUCGCAAGAUCUCUUUAUUGUCCUCAUUGAGCGCUCUCACUUCUCUUACACGACCGCCUUUCACGUAUGGCACGUCCCAGCGUGUUUGGCUACGUCGAAGAGGAAUGUUGGGCGUUCUUGCUUUUCUUACACGACUGCCUUUCACGUAUGGCACGUCCCA
rnacentral:misc_RNA from 1 species